UUUUACUGCAUGAAUUUCUUUCUUCUUGACUAUUUUUCUUUGUCAAUCACGUCCUCAACCCGACGUUGGCUUCCCGCGUCUGCGACACAAUGCAUUUUCAAUUUUUCAUUGCUUUUAAAUAACGCUGUCGUUUUAUUGGCCGCAUUUUCACAGCUUCAUUUUGUCCAUUUUCCCUCCUCCAAUAAAAUCGACAAACUCGUUCAGCACCGGAGACUAAGGUCAGUCAGUCAUCUUCUACUUCCACAAGCUGACUUUAAAUCAAAAUCAAAAUUGGAUUCAGUUUAUGUAUAAUGUAUUUGCAGUUAAUAUUUGACAAAAGCAAUGUGAUUUGCACCACAGUAUUGCCGUGAUAUAAAAUAUUUAGCAUAUGAAUGCUAAUUGAUUGGCUGGUUUUGAGGCAUACAAUUCAUAAAUUUAGUUCGGAUAGUCUUGGUUACAUGUUAGGUUUAUGAAAUAUUGAGAUAGUGGUUUCAAUAUGCCGUCAUAUUCUCAAACAUCUGGUCUGUAUGUGCAAUGAGAUCUGGCUUCCUCUUGCUUUUAGAUUAGACCGUGCAAUCAGAGCUUUCUAUGGAACCUUUCAGGGAUCUGUUGUCAUCAGUAUAUUAGCCAAUGUUUUCCUUCUAUACUAGUAAGCUUAUAUGUCAAACUGUACUUAGUGUGUGUUUGGCGCACCUGAAUAUGAAAAUUAAAUUACUGUAUUUCUUAUUUGUUUCUUUGGAUUUGAUGAUGACUAUUUUUUGGAUAGUUUCUUAGACCACAACGCCUCAGUUUUAAUCUAGAAGCAAAAGUGCACCACCAUAAGAACUGUUGCCGUAUAGUGAUUUCCUCUCACAAAUAUUCAGCAUAUUUUUAUACAAUGUCAUAUAUCUGUCUGUUAAUUGAUCUUCCAAGGUGGAGAAGUUACUAUUUCGUCCAAUGGUAAAAGUCAUAAGCUUCUGAGAGGAAGCAUGUGUGUGUGAGCUUCGAAUUCAAGCUACCUCAUAUGGAAAUGUUGAAUGUUAGGAGCUUGAGACUGUUUUCCCGUAGGAACAACAUUUGGGGUCAUAGACUUGUAAACAUUAAAACUUAGAUUGUAAAAGAUUCUAGGAGACAAGUUGUGGUGAAAUGAGGGACAAAUUAAAAUGAGUAAGUACAUUAAGACUUAGCUGAUUAUACUCAAGUUCGAUUUUGCCAAAAGCAUGCUGUUAAGGCCACUCUCAAUCAAAUCUGGACUGUUAUCUUAGCAACUAAAUCCGGACUGUUAUUCUUAGACAGUUAGUGGCUAAUGAAGUGAAUUUAGGACUAAAGGUCUUGGAUAUUUUUGGCUAUUACUUUCUUCUCUGAUGUUCUUUGUUUAAUUGGUGGUUAAUGGUACUUUUCAUGUCUGAGGGUAAAACCCUUAUAUGUGGCUGCUAGUUGGUGCAAACGGUAACCUUCUUGGGGUACUGCUCACACCAAGGAAGAGGAGGGGAUUGGUUUAUGUUAUAUGUAUCUUAAACAGGAUAAUAAAUUCUAAAAAACAAGCAUCUGAUGUGAAUUCAAAAUAGUUACUGUAAAUAUAAAUCACUGCAGCUACAAAGUGCUUUCACAUUAUUUGUUUGAAAAUUUUUAUGUAUUCUUUUAGAUUUAUCUUAUUAUGCUUAAAAUUCUGGAUCGUUUGCUGUGAUUCCUUUACUUCCUUCAAAAGACAAAAAUGCCAAUAAAUCUUGGCAUAGUGACUCUCUGUGAAGUGUAGUUUACUACCUCUGAUAUCUGUUUCUUUUUAGGGGCUUCAACACAUCUAGUUUGGGUCAUUAUGUGCUUGUGUAAUUUUCUGAUUAUCUGCCUUUAUACAGGCUGACAUGAUAGCUUAAGCAAGAAAAAUUAAUUCUUGUAAUUUUAAUGAUGGGUACUUCUGUAGAAACAGGUUAGUGGACUUUAGAAGUGCUAGGUUGUUGAUCUUCCAGAGUAUUCUAGUUUCUUUUCCUGUGACGUUGUUCCGAAGGUCUCUCACUUGACCUUCUGCAAGUGUACUCCAGCCUUGUUGCUGCAUUAAUGUUCACAUACCCUGUUUUUGACCAGAGUUUUUAAUAACAUGAUAUUUUAUAUGUAUUAUGCUCAACUCUCUCUCUCUCUCUUUUUUCUAUUUUUUUAACUUAAAGCAGUUUAUCUUUCUUUGCUGAUUUCCAAAUUUGUAUGACUAAAAGUUUAGGAUGUCAUAUUAUUAGCAACAAUAACCCAUAAAAGUCUUUCAGUUUUAAGAAUUCUUAACAUUAUCAACACUUAACAUUGAUCUCCCAUUCAAAUUAAACAGUUUUUCUCAUUUUCUCUUACUCUGUUCUUAUGUUAAGUUGUUAAGACAUUAUAAGUUUUUAAAAUUGAGUCCAGACUAUCUGUCUUGGUAAGUAUUUUUUGUUUCUCUCUCUCUCUCUGUAUUAAAGAGAGAAAACAUGAGGGAAAAAAUUAAAAGAGAAAGUUAACUAGUAGUGAUUUUUCUUUAUAUUCUAUUAAUUUACUGCAGCUUUUUAGAAGCCUCCAUAAGAUUCUCAAUUUUAUUUUUACGCAGCCAUCUAACUCUUGCUGUAUUGUAGCCAAAUAAUUGCAUCCAAUUGCGGAUCUUUUUUUUUUUUUUCCGUUUGUUAGUUUGGUUAAAGAAAGCCGGUGAAAGGUCUUUAAAUGUAUAAUAGUAAACGUUUUCUCUUGUGGAGGCAGAAAAAAAUUUGAGGUUUUCUCUUAGUUGGCUUCGACUAAAUAAUUAGUCCUGUUAAGUGGCAUUUUGGGGUUUAUUAUUUUCAGUUGCUGGGUAAACAGCAAGACAAUCCUAAUUUCAUUCGUAAUUUCCAGUAACAGUAAUGGCUCACCUAAACUCAGCCGAGAGAGACACUUCCAGAAAGAAGCAGUUGGCUGCUGUUGCUGCCCACUGGACUCAUGUCAUGCAUCUAGUUGGAUGUUACUACCUGUUGACAGAACGCAGUCGAUUCAACAAUGAGAAUGGAGAGGAUGAUGCAGGGUUCGAAGAGAUAGCGGAGGCAAUCAGAGAAGCAGCAGAUACUACUGCUACAGAAAUUAGGGAGUCAACUAAUCGCACGGUUGAAGCUAUCGGCCAAAAGAUUAUUAAAUAAUGGGUGAGACCUAAUGAAGAGUUUUUCAGGAUGACUACUCUUGCCAUGAAAGAGAAGCAUAAAUCCCCUCGGUGCAAAAUUAUAUGGUGGAUUUCGCUAAGUUCGAUUAUAUGUAGUUGAUGAAAUAGAUUUUGUUAUUUGUUGUACAUAACCCUUCAUCUUUUAGCAACACCGGACCUGCAGCUAGGAUAGCCAAAGGCCUAACUGGGCAUCAGUUUCUAGAGCUCUUUAAACGAAUUAGAUUUUGUCAUUGAAGUUCUAGUAAGUAUAGAGUCGCCACGAAACUCUGAAGACACCUUUUUAAGUUUUUAUUCAUGAACCUUGGUCUCCUGUUUGGCUAAAAAUAUUUAACGUCUGGUUGUCUCAUGUAUUGACAAGACAAGUUUGACACAUUCCGCA
rnacentral:lncRNA from 1 species